AACGAACGCUGGCGGCAGGCUUAAGACAUGCAAGUCGAACGCCCCGCAAGGGGAGUGGCAGACGGGUGAGUAACACGUGGGAACGUGCCCGAAGGUACGGAACAACUCCGGGAAACUGGAGCUAAUACCGUAUGUGACCGAGAGGUGAAAGAUUUAUCGCCUUCGGAUCGGCCCGCGUCAGAUUAGCUUGUUGGUGGGGUAAUGGCCUACCAAGGCUACGAUCUGUAGCUGUUCUGAGAGGAAGAUCAGCCACAUUGGGACUGAGACACGGCCCAAACUCCUACGGGAGGCAGCAGUCGGGAAUAUUGGACAAUGGGCGCAAGCCUGAUCCAGCCAUGCCGCGUGAGUGACGAAGGCCUUAGGGUUGUAAAACUCUUUCGCACGUGACGAUAAUGACGGUAACGUGAGAAGAAGCUCCGGCUAACUUCGUGCCAGCCGCCGCGGUAA
rnacentral:rRNA from 1 species